CUAUAGCAGGAAUCCCAUUAGCAAUGUCCAAGGUCUUAGCCAUCAAAGAUAUCACACUUAUCUAUUAUUAAGAUCCAGUCCUUCUCGAAUCAAUGAUUAUAUUGAUGCUUAUUAUAAAAGUUGACAAGCAAGCCUAGCAUCUAAGUUUUUAAUAACUUAUCAUAUCCAAGUAUUAAUCACAGGAUCCUCUUUCUUAGCCCGAGUGGGGGGAUAAAAGUAAAGCAAAUUAGGGAAGUAAAAGCAAAAUCUGAUACAUAUUUAUAAGAAAUACAUACCUUGAUAGAUUU
rnacentral:misc_RNA from 1 species